AUGUAUAUAAAAUUUUUUAAAGGUGGAGACUGACAAAGGACUAGCCCUAGUCCCCACCUUCAAAAAAAUAUCUUUCUCCUUCAUCUUCUACUUCUAGCUUUUGCCAUUAGUUUUCCAGAUCUUCUCUUCCACACUCUUAGGAAACGGGUCUGUGUUUAUUUAGCUCAAAGACUUCUCAUGGAGGUUGAUUUAGAUCACCCUAAACACGAUCCGGGGACUUUCACUUUGAAUGAUGAUACCACUACUGAGUCGCCCUUAGCUUUUCCAAAGUAUUGUUAUGGCUGUUCCUUGGAGCUCUCUGGCCUCUCGCUAAAUGUAGGGUAAUUGGCCACCAAGGAGACCUGGAGGUGCUUUCAACCAUGCGCCCAUCUAUCCAUCCGGCCACAAGUGGGUGGUUCUAGUGAGUUUCAUCUUAGGGAGGGACUAAUUUUGCAAUGUUAUAUAUGUUUGAGAAGAAUCGUAAUAUCUUUAUAAGGGCUCGAACUGAAUGCUUGUCAUGAUCACAGAACAUCUCUCUUCACCAAAUGACAUCCUUCUUAAUUGGGGUUUGAUAAAUCAAUGAAUGAAGGUGGAAGCAGUUCUACGGACUACGGAGUAGGAGUUAAGUGAAUCGAUGAAUGAGGAAGUUUUCAACUUGAGCGAGUAAGAUUUGAGUGAAUUAAUGAAUGGAGAAGUUGAACCUGAGUGAAUCAAUGAAGCAGAGGUUGAGCAUGCUUGGUACAAAGAGUUACCUUCUUUUAUAUCUAACCAGUCACUUUCUGAAAAAGUUCUCUAUUUAUUUACAGCGGGUAGAUUAUGAUUUCCUCGAAAGGGAUAUCAUUUACCUUAAAUGGCGAUACUAUUAAGUCAGUUCUUAACUUUUCCUGUGGUUUUCACCACUUUAUUAAGCUAUUACCUAAAUGUAAUUGAUAUGUAUUCCUCUUGUGCUAUUGCAGUUGUAUAUUACACUUGUGGCUUAUCAUAAAUAUUAU